UAGGGAAUCUUCCACAAUGGGCGGCAAGCCUGAUGGAGCAACACCGCGUGAGUGAAGAAGGGUUUACGGCUCGUAAAGCUCUGUUGUUGGAGAAGAACGUGCGUGAGAGUAACUGUUCACGCAGUGACGGUAUCCAACCAGAAAGUCACGGCUAACUACGUGCC
rnacentral:rRNA from 1 species